CUCCCAGCGCGGAUAGCCAGUACAUUUGCCUCAGUUUUUUGCUUUCUCAAUGGUAAUGUGUUAGUUUUAUUACUGAUUAGUUCGGGGGAAGAGGAUCAUGCCUCGUUCGUUGGUAGCACGCAUUACGCAAUCGAUCUCCACGAAUAUACGAAUCUAAUGCAAUUUUCGUAAGAGGAUUAUAUGAUUAUUGUUAAAAGUUAAAAAAAUGUAACGGUAUUGGCAUUGCAAAUUAGAGUUCUGAUUGUCCUUUUAAAAUCAUUGAGAAGAAUUUAAAAUCACUGCAAUUUCUUUAAAAUUUUCAAAAUGCUUAGUUUUGUUGUUGACUACUAUCGAAGUCUUUUGACAUCAUCAGACUGAGCAAAGCUGCAGAGAGAUCUCUCACUGUCUUCCUCCUUUUUUUGAUCUGCAAUUCCUAAUUAAUUAUUGCAGUGAGAGAACCAUUUCUUCUGUUCUUCAACAGGAGCAGUUGUUUCCACUUUCUGGGAUCUCCUUACCCUCCAAUGUGAUAGAGAAAACCCAUGCUUAUCUCUGCCUACACCUGUAUAUAGAUCUGCCAAUGGGCUUUUGCUUUUGUAUUAUACAAUUUUUGGAUUUCUAGACAGGUUUGAAGAAUGAGUAAUGGUGGGGAAUCAUCCCAUAAUCGAACCCCCAGGGACUUAAUGUGCCACGCUGGUGCUGGUUCUGCUGCAGUUUAGCCUAAACAAGUGCUAUUGCAGCUACUUUCGUUGGCUCAUUGUAUGUGAUCAAGACGCGGUUACAGCUAUAUGGCUUGCAUGCUACUCCCAAUUCAGGUCGUGCAGGUAGCAUCAUUGUUACGAGUCUCCAGAAAAUGAUUAGGACUGAAGGUUUUAAGGGAUUAUAUCGUGGUCUUUCUCCAACAAUAAUAGCGCUACUUCCAAACUGGACUGUUUAUUUCACAGUUUAUGAGCAACGCAAAGGUCUACUCCUGUCGCAUGGGGAUGGGAAUAACCAACUCACGGUUGGUGCAAACAUGGUAGCUGCCGCAGGUUCUGGGGCUGCCACAUCCACUGCUACAAAUCCAUUGUGGGCUGUGUAAACAAGACUCCAAGAAAAAUGAUAUUUUUGAGGGACUAAAAAAGAAAUUUUGCCAAUGAGGAGUGAUUUCUACAGCCAAAGAUGUCAAAAAUAAGUUUUCAAGUUGAAAUAUGCAUUGACCAAAUUGCACAUAACUUGC
rnacentral:misc_RNA from 1 species